GGCGGAGUGAGAUUUUCAAUUUGAGUUGUCUGCGCACAUAUGUAACAGUUACACACUUACCUUGCAGGUCUUCUUUGAAGAAAGUGAAAGGACGCUUCCAACAUACAAUAUCUAUCCAUCGCCAGCUGCUACACAUGGGUGGGAUCCAUAAUGACCUGGACGGCCAUCUCAAGAGACAUCGUCUAAUGUAUAUUCCGGCUAAUGAAUAAAGCACCAUUUUGCAGGACCAGGGGCAUCCAGAAUAUCACAGAUUCUUCCAGCUGGAUUUGCAUGGAGACCAUAAAACACCGGCUGGGUUACAGGAUGGCCGACAGCCCCCGUGUUUCUGGAAGGACUGUAGUGAAAAUAUCACAUGUUUUUGCUCUUCCCACUAACAUUGAUUAUGAAUUAUUUAAGCAAUAUGUAUAGUGGACAGGGGAACAGAAUACAAAAAACGGGGUGUUACAAAGCAGAACUAACACUGCCAAAGUACC